UUGCGCCUGCGGCGGGCCCGGCACGACCCAUUUUUCGGCUUCGCAGGCAGUCGGGUUGUGUACGGUCCGGUACAUCCCGGAAUUUCCGGGAUUUAACCUUUUC
rnacentral:sRNA from 1 species